UUUCUACUCCCUCCGUCCAAAAAUACUUGUCAUCAAAAUGGAUAAAAAGAGAUGUAUCUAGAACUAAAAUACGUCUAGAUGCAUUUCCUUUUAUCCAUUUUGAUGACAAGUAUUUCCGGACGGAGGGAGUAUUUG
rnacentral:pre_miRNA from 1 species